rnacentral:tRNA from 1 species
UAAGGAUUUAAGUUAAAAAAACUCUUAACCUUCAAAGUUAAAAUUAGACGGUAUCUAAGCCUU